CCUACGGGUGGCAGCAGUGAGGAAUAUUGGUCAAUGGGCGAGAGCCUGAACCAGCCAAGUCGCGUGAGGGAGUACUGCCCUAUGGGUUGUAAACCUCUUUUGUCGGGGAGCAAAAGCCGGACGUGUCCGGCUGUGAGAGUACCCGAAGAAAAAGCAUCGGCUAACUCCGUGCCAGCAGCCGCGGUAAUACGGGGGAUGCGAUGGUUAUCCGGAUUUAUUGGGUUUAAAGGGAGCGUAGGUGGGUGGUUCAGUUAGUUGUGAAAGUUGGCGGCUCAACCGUAACAUUGCAAUUGAUACUGGGAGUGUUGAGUACAGUUGAGGUAAGCGGAAGUCGUGGUGUAGCGGUGAAAUGCUUAGAUAUCACGAAGAACCCCGAUUGCGAAGGCAGCUUACUAAACUGUGACUGACAUUGAUGCUCGAAAGUGUGGGUAUCAAACAGGAGUAGAUACCCUUGUAGUC
rnacentral:rRNA from 1 species